rnacentral:rRNA from 1 species
GAUGAACGCUGGCGGCGUGCCUAAUACAUGCAAGUCGAGCGAACAGACGAGGAGCUUGCUCCUCUGACGUUAGCGGCGGACGGGUGAGUAACACGUGGAUAACCUACCUAUAAGACUGGGAUAACUUCGGGAAACCGGAGCUAAUACCGGAUAAUAUAUUGAACCGCAUGGUUCAAUAGUGAAAGACGGUUUUGCUGUCACUUAUAGAUGGAUCCGCGCCGCAUUAGCUAGUUGGUAAGGUAACGGCUUACCAAGGCAACGAUGCGUAGCCGACCUGAGAGGGUGAUCGGCCACACUGGAACUGAGACACGGUCCAGACUCCUACGGGAGGCAGCAGUAGGGAAUCUUCCGCAAUGGGCGAAAGCCUGACGGAGCAACGCCGCGUGAGUGAUGAAGGUCUUCGGAUCGUAAAGCUCUGUUAUUAGGGAAGAACAACUGUGUAAGUAAAUAUGCACGUCUUGACGGUACCUAAUCAGAAAGCCACGGCUAACUACGUG